ACAUCGCAUUGAAACAACAGUUCCCGUAUGAUCACCGAAGUCAAAUAUGGUUGGGCGUGGUUAGUACGUAGAUGGGGGUAACCAUCUGGGGAUACCCAGCUGCUGUAA